CACACACACAUGCUCACUCUCCCUGUACACACACACUCUCCCUGUACACACACACACAUGCUCACUCUCCCUGUACACACACAUUCUCCCUGUACACACACACUCUCCCUGUACACACACACACAUGCUCACUCUCUCUGUACACACACGCGCAUGCUCACUCUCCUUGUACACACACUCCCUGUACACACACUCCCUGUACACACACACACGCUCACUCUCCCUGUACACACACAUUCUCCCUGUACACACACACUCUCCCUGUACACACACACACAUGCUCACUCUCCCUGUACACACACACACUCUCCCUGUACACACACACACAUGCUCACUCUCCCUGUACACACACAUUCUCCCUGUACACACACACUCUCCCUGUACACACACACACAUGCUCACUCUCCCUGUACACACACGUGCAUGCUCACUCUCCUUGUGCACACACUCCCUGUACACACACACACACGCUCACUCUCCCUGUACACACACAUUCUCCCUGUACACACACACUCUCCCUGUACACACACACACGCUCACUCUCCC
rnacentral:lncRNA from 1 species